CACCCGUAUGGGGUGUCCCUUCGGGGCGAUUGCACAGGUGCUGCAUGACUGUCGUCAGCUCGUGUCGUGAGAUGUUGGGUUCAGUCCCGCAACGAGCGCAACCCCUGCCGCUAGUUAGGAUGUCUAGCGGGACCGCCGCGAUCAACGCGGAGGAAGGCGGGGACGACGUCAAGUCAGCACGGCCCUUACGUCCUGGGCUACACACACGCUACAAUGGUCGGUACAACGGGCUGCCAACCCGCGAGGGGGAGCCAAUCCCAACAAAACCGGCCUCAGUUCAGAUUGUAGGCUGAAACCCGCCUGCAUGAAGGAGGAGUUGCUAGUAACCGUGGGUCAGCACACCACGGUGAAUACGUUCCCGGGUCUUGUACACACCGCCCGUCACACCACGAAAGUCGGCAACACCUGAAGCCGCUGAGCCAACCGCAAGGGGGCAGGCGUCGAGGGUGGGGUCGGUGAUUGGGGUGAAGUCGUAACAAGGUAGCCGU
rnacentral:rRNA from 1 species